rnacentral:rRNA from 1 species
CUGCAACGGCGAUAUGUAGUUUCGAGAAGCACUUUCUCGACGGAACCGGGGCCGUCCAAGUUGCUUGGAACAGCACGUCAUAGAGGGUGACAACCCCGUCUGUGGCGGAACCGGGCCGUUCACGAUGUGCUUUCGACGAGUCGGGUUGUUUGGGAAUGCAGCCCAAAAUGGGUGGUAAACUCCAUCUAAAGCUAAAUAUUGGCACGAGACCGAUAGCGAACAAGUACCGUGAGGGAAAGGUGAAAAGCACUUUGAAAAGAGAGUUAAAAAGUACGUGAAACCGUUAAAAGGGAAACGAAUGGGGUUAGCAAUGCGCUCUGCGAGAUUCAGCCGGUCGGCUGGGCGGGCGUGCGGCGUUUCGCGGAUCCUUGACGGACCGCCGCCGUACGGUUUGCCCGGCUCGACCGUCGCACUUCUCGCGAGUGCGCGCCAACAUCGGUUGGGAGUGGGUCUCAAAGGCGCCGGUAAGGUGGACUCCGUCUCCCUCGGGAACGGAGUUGUUUAUAGACCGGCGUCGCAUCGGCCCGCGCCCGACCGAGGAGCCGCGGCGCAUGCCUUUCCUUCGGGUCUGGCUAGGGUCCCGUCGUUCCGGUCGGUCGUCGACCGCGGUGGACUGCGUGCAGUGCGCCGCGACCGCUGCCGGUCGUCUACGGCGGUGAUCCCGUACCAUGCGCCCAGGAUGUUGGCGGUCACAUGGCCUCAUCCGACCCGUCUUGAAACACGGACCAAGGAGUCUAACAUGUGCGCGAGUCUUCGAGUGAUCGAAACUCCCAGGCGUAAUGAAAGUGAAGGCGGCCCCGUGCCGCCGAGGUGAGAACCCCGCGAGGGGCGCUACUACGACCGAC